rnacentral:rRNA from 1 species
UACAAGGGGUGCAAACGUUGCUCGGAAUCAUUGGGCGUAAAGCGCACGUAGGCGGUUCGUUAUGUCGGAUGUGAAAGCCCUUGGCUUAACCGAGGAAGUGCAUCCGAAACUGGCGAGCUAGAGUACGAAAGAGGAUCGCGGAAUUCCCGGUGUAGAGGUGAAAUUCGUAGAUAUCGGGAGGAACACCGGUGGCGAAGGCGGCGAUCUGGGUCGAUACUGACGCUGAGGUGCGAAAGCGUGGGGAGCAAACAGG